CAGUCCCCACCUGUUAAUUAUAUGACAGUUAGUCUUAAAACAUAACCAACAUUUAAGUUAAGUGCAUUUAAUGAACAAACACAGAGGCCUUAUAAAAAUGCUAAUUUUAGAAGAAAACUUCAAACUUCACUUUUAGUAUUUUACUUCAUUCACAACAUUCAUUUUGUAUAUCAUUUACUUCUGAGGAUAUAAAUAUAUCACACAGUGAUGGCCAAAACUAUUAGAACACUUGUAUUUUUACCAGCUGGAAAAUGGUAUAAAAGUCAGUUAUUUCUAUCGUUUGCUGUCGUGUGUCAGAAGGAAAUUUCUGUUUAAUUUUCCAAAACAUUAUUCUUGUCAUUUAUUGUUAUAAUUAGUGAGAUUAAGAGGCUUAGCUUUUAGCUAAUGCAGCUAACGGUAAUGUUACCUGAGGAAAAAAAAGCGUGAAAAUGCUAAAUUUUAAAUUAUUGCUAGUUGGUUGGAUCCGGCACGUCACAGACACUUGAAAAAAUAUCCCCUUAGAUUAAGUUUUGUAUGAAAUUAUCUAAUUCUGACUAAACAUUACAAAGCCAUACAGUAGGCAAACAGUAACCGAACUAUACCAUGUAUUUCUGACCUAAGGCUAGUUCAUAGAUUUCCAUGAGGAUUUAACGUGAAGGAUAAAAACAUUUUAAAGUAAAAAUAUAUGCACAUGUACACACAUUUAUAUAACAUAAGGAUAAAGCGAUUGUUAAGGACUUUUUUUGUAAAAAAAUAGCAUGCUAAGCUGCUAAAUUACUUAACGUUAAUCAAUCACAUAAUAAAACACUUCCUCCGCACAGCGACAGAUCAAAUACUGCAUUAAACAGUAAAAUCAGUGUGCUCUUACCACAAGUUAUUAAAAAUAAUCAUAUUAUCAUAUUAAUUUACCUUAUAAAAUCAGCUUGAUGUGAUGUGCAUUGCCGUCUGACAAGGAGGAUCCAGAAUGUUCGAUGAAGUGGAAAAAUGAACAAACCGGUUGGGUCAAAAUAACCCAACCCAGCUGUUCGGUGGUGAAAAAACGCCUACAGUCCAUUUGACCCAGCAUGAGCAACCCAACUGUGUGUUUACAGUACCUCAAACAACCCAAAAUUAUGACCCGGCACAAUUUACCCAAAAAUGUGUUUACAGAAAUAACCCAGCAUUUUUUAGAGUGUGUGGGUGAGUCUGAUCUCUGCACUCUAAAAAAUAAUGGGUCAUUUUGUUGGGUUAUUUUCUCAAUGUUGGGUCAUUUUGUUGGGUUAUUUUCUCAGUGUUGGGUCAUUUUGUUGGGUUAUUUUCUCAGUGUUGGGUCAUUUUGUUGGGUUAUUUUCUCAGUGUUGGGUCAUUUUGUUGGGUUAUUUUCUCAGUGUUGGGUCAUUUUGUUGGGUUAUUUUCUCAGUGUUGGGUCAUUUUGUUGGGUUAUUUUCUCAGUGUUGGGUCAUUUUGUUGGGUUAUUUUCUCAGUGUUGGGUCAUUUUGUUGGGUUAUUUUCUCAGUGUUGGGUCAUUUUGUUGGGUUAUUUUCUCAGUGUUGGGUCAUUUUGUUGGGUUAUUUUCUCAGUGUUGGGUCAUUUUGUUGGGUUAUUUUCUCAGUGUUGGGUCAUUUUGUUGGGUUAUUUUCUCAGUGUUGGGUCAUUUUGUUGGGUUAUUUUCUCAGUGUUGGGUCAUUUUGUUGGGGGGGUAUUUUCUCAGGGUUGGGUCAUUUUGUUGGGUUAUUUUCUCAGUGUUGGGUCAUUUUGUUGGGUUAUUUUCUCAGUGUUGGGUCAUUUUGUUGGGUUAUUUUUUCAGUGUUGGGUCAUUUUGUUGGGGGGUAUUUUCUCAGUGUUGGGUCAUUUUGUUGGGGGGGUAUUUUCUCAGGGUUGGGUCAUUUUCUCAGUGUUGGUCAUUUUUUGAGUAACCCAAACGCUGGGUUACAAAUCGGGGCCAAUUGAGUGACAGUUGAGAGAGUAAACCCCUCCCACUCAUCGACCCAUCAGACAAACUUUACCUUCGCGGUCAUUUUGAUCCACCUCAUCUCGGAAAGCUGUUCUUCGGAGAAUACAAGGUAUGUUUUACAAGUUUUUAAUGUAUAAAACUAUUACUGUACAUCAAAAAAAUGCAGAAGUAUGCAAAAUUUGUCUGUUCGCAUUAGGUUUGAAAAGUAACGUUACAAUCUAGCUUCGUCAGCUUUGCCAAAGCCUUUAGAUAGCUAGUCUGUAACGUUAUGCCCACGUUGUUCUAACUUACAGCUUUUUAAUCAUUUAAACUUCCUUUUUGGUGAACAUUUCCUCUGAAAUUUGUGACUUGUGUGAGUCAUUUAGUUCGGUAACUGAAGGCCUGUUUAUAGUCAAGCCUGGCUCCGCUUCACGAGCCUCCGCUGACCGCGCGCGCAACUCCCCAAACGGACGAGACGUUUAUACUUGACGCGUUCGCCGUUAAGAUAUUCUUUGAAACGACAGGGGGCGCACAAACGAAAUCGUCUUGUAAAUCCGCAGGAAGUAGAAGAAAAUUAGGAAUUUUACCGGAAUUACUUCAGAUCAUCAAGGAAAUUUAGGAUAAAUUUAGGACUAUUAAAAAAAUGGCGAAAAAGGAGAUGGAAUGUUCGCCCACUGCAUGCCACAAAACGUGGAGAUGUAGAAUACUUCGCUCUUGUGAAGCAGAUGUGUGUGAUGGACGGGGAAAUGCAUUUCAAAAUAUUGUUUGUUGAUUUAAUACAUUUUUACAUCAAAAACUUUUUGUUCACUCUUUCAUUUCUGUGCAUAAUGCAGACACAUGUCUACAUAUUGUUGGUUAGGGACUGCUAAAUGUACAUUGCCAUAGAUUAACCUAUUGGAUGUCUUUGUUUUAUAAAAUGAGAAGAUAUAAGAACAGUUCAAAAGAGCAAUGUUUAUAAAUAUUGUUUUAUUCUGAAUACAAUAUAAAACAGACACACUGAUGAUUAAAUAUGUCUGUACAGGCGUACAUGUUCAGCCAAAAUCUCUUCAAAGCUUUCAUGUUGACUGCGGCGCCGCGCGAACUUUUCGCUCGAGUCACAAAAAAUGUCGUGCACGCCGCCACGCAAAAUGAGUUCGCGCGGACACAAAGCGAACUUCCGCUAACUCCGCGAUGACGUCAUAUUUGGCGCGCGCACCCAGGCGAACUAGCGACUGCGUCGAGUAUAACCAGCCCUUACGCAUCUUGAUAUUAGUUUAAGGUCGACACGAGAGCGUCGUGUCAAAAGCAAACAUCCAGCUCAUUUUCUUUUAUAAAUACCACUAAUGUUCGGUGACGGAACGUAGUAUUAAGAGUCUUUUAGACGAGAAUGUAGUUGUAAAGAACUCAAAUACGUGAUUUAUAUAUAAACAUAACGCCUCUUUGAGAUUUUGUUAAGACGCUGUCGGAGGUGUGAGCAUCAGGCUGUCAGCGGUCGUGGCUCCGCUGAGAGCGGCUCUAUCUCGGCCAUUGCGUCGGGAGUAGCCGCUCUUAUAACGUUAGUGGUUAACCGUGAGAUAUAAUUAAUUUUGGGUAUAUGAGACGAACAAUUGAUGCUCUUUUUAUUCUUCUACGUAUCCCUGAGUGUGUCGAAUUAGUUAAGAGUUGUGUAAACGUUUAUAAUAUUAUUUUUUUAAGACUGUAUUUCACUUUAUGUACUAGAGCCCUAGAACUUACAGCCUCUGCCACUCCCACAGUGACAGGUUGCAGAAUAACAGCUAAUAUUAAUGGAUCAUUCUAUUCAGGAGAAAGUAGACUGGAACUUGGAUGUCCUGAUACCAAGCUUAAAGAUGAACAAAUUGAUAAAGAAACCCUCCUGCUGAACAUCCACUUCCAAAAGUGCUCGCCACACUGUUGUCUACAAACUCCCAUGAAAAGAAUCUUCUUCAGUACGACUGCUCCGUGGAUAUGUCAGGUUAAGCAGUACUGGAACCGAAAGAACUAAAACUUUUUAAAAAAACAUUUUUAUGAAGUUUAUAUGAGUUUAUAUGAAGAGGAAAGUUCUAGGACUAAUACAUUCCUGCAAAUGUCAACCAAUACCAUAAAAAAGUUUUUACCAAAGGUUUUACUGCACUAACUGCACCUUAUCAACAAGUGGUGGUUCAAAUACCCGUGUGAGGUCUCUCUUUAAGUUAAGGUAUUAUUGCUUCAGGUUUGUACAUUUUAGUUCACAGAAAUUCUACAAAGUUUGUUGCCUCCCGAAUACGGUGUCCCUUUUUCACAUCCAUAACGCUUGUUUAUUUCCUUUCUUUAAAAUAGAAAUCUUGUGUAUAUAUUGAUAUUUUAUCAUAUUAGUGCAGUUCUAUCAACAAGGGUUUAGUAAAAUAAAAAUAAAUAGUUCAGUAUAUUGGUAACAAAUACUUUCUCAGAGUGUAUUUGCACAUCCAUAAUGCUGGAAUUGUCCUAUAAAGCAUUUUACUCGUGCCACUUUUUUAACUGUAUUUUGUAAAAAGUUAUGAUUUUUUGAAGUGGAAAGUUGUCUAACUAUUUCUGUUUACUUGCGCCACUUUAUGCAUAUGUUAAAAUCUAAACUAAUGUAAUUUAUUGAUGUUUUUUUUUAAAUAUGUAUCAACAUUAAUUAAAUUACAGUGUUUGAUAUGCCAUUUUAUUGUUAAUUGAGCAUUCAAAUAUUGCAAGUCUUUAUGAAUUCCUUUUGUCUUGCAUUUCGAUCCUUAAUAAAACUUCAAUUUUGACUCUUA